rnacentral:rRNA from 1 species
GAUGAACGCUGGCGGCGUGCCGAAUUCAUGCAAGUCGAGCGAACGGAUAAGGAGCUUGCGCCUUUGAAGUUAGCGGCGGGCGGGGGAGUAACACGUGGGUAACCUACCUAUAAGACUGGAAUAACUUCGGGAAACCGGAGGUAAUGCCGGAUAACAUUUGGAACUGCAUUGUUCUAAAGUAAAAGAUGGUUUUUAUAUCACGUAUAUAUGGACUCGCGCCGUAUUAGCUAGUUGGUAAGAUAACGGCUUACCAAGGCAACGAUACGUAGCCGACCUGAGAGGGUGAUCGGCCACACAGGAACUGAGACACGGUCCAGACUCCUACGGGAGGCAGCAGUAGGGAAUCUUCCGCAAUGGACGAAAGUCUGACGGAGCAACGCCGCGUGAGUGAUGAAGGUUUUCGGAUCGUAAAACUCUGUUAUUAGGGAAGAACAAAUGUGUAAGUAACUGUGCACAUCUUGACGGUACCUAAUCAGAAAGCCACGGCUAACUACGUGCCAGCAGCCGCUGUAA